AAGGUCUUAAGUUAUAAAAACUACAGGCCUUCAAAGCCUGAAAUAAAGAAUAUUCUUUAGUCCUUG
rnacentral:tRNA from 1 species